GCCCCUUUAGAUACGUUAGAACUUUGUACGCAGCUUUCCCGAUUUGAGAAUAUGUGGCUGAACCAUUCUGAAGUUUUGCCAAUGGUAGAAUAUUGGUUGAAGAAUACACCCCUCCGUGGAUGGCCGGGGCACGGUUUCAUCAACAAACUUAAAGGACUAAAAGAAGUCUUAAAGAAAUGGAACAAGGAGGUUUUCGGUUGUAUUUCCACAAA